GAAUGUAUCACAUUAUGAAAAACCUAAAUGCUGCUUGACAUACAAGCAGCAUUUAGGUUUUUCAUAAUGUGAUACAUU